AUGGAUUAAUAACUUCCAACCUUCUGGUUAAAAGUUAAAAAAAAAUUUUUUUUUUUUAUUUAUUAAGUUACACAUCAAGUCAACACUUUUACAUAUCAAAUCAACACAGGCAACAUUAGACCAAACAUAUUGAACAAUAUAAAUUUACGAAUCCAGCUUUUUGUUCCUGAUCGAUAAAAUUAAAUUCACUUUUUGGUAGAAUAUACAUAUAUGGAGAAAAACUCAAAUCAAGUUGGCAGCUUUGUAUAUGCUGCAUAUCCUUCUAUUUUGUUGCAAAGUACAGGAGGUUACAGUCCCAAAUAUCAAAUCUGUUGGGAAUAAAUAUUUUAAGGUGAUAAAAGAAAGUGUUUAAGUGUUUUGGAGAGAACAGAAACUUUUAGGAAGAAAAAGGUUUUAUUGCUUUUAG
rnacentral:lncRNA from 1 species